GAUGAACGCUGGCGGCGUGCCUAAUACAUGCGAGUCGAGCGAACGGACGAGAAGCUUGCUUCUCUGAUGUUAGCGGCGGACGGGUGAGUAACACGUGGAUAACCUACCUAUAAGACUGGGAUAACUUCGGGAAACCGGAGCUAAUACCGGAUAAUAUUUUGAACCGCAUGGUUCAAAAGUAAAAGACGGUCUUGCUGUCACUUAUAGAUGGAUCCGCGCUGCAUUAGCUAGUUGGUAAGGUAACGGCUUACCAAGGCAACGAUGCAUAGCCGACCUGAGAGGGUGAUCGGCCACACUGGAACUGAAACACGGUCCAGACUCCUACGGGAGGCAGCAGUAGGGAAUCUUCCGCAAUGGGCGAAAGCCUGACGGAGCAACGCCGCGUGAGUGAUGAAGGUCUUCGGAUCGUAAAACUCUGUUAUUAGGGAAGAACAUAUGUGUAAGUAACUGUGCACAUCUUGACGGUACCUAAUCAGAAAGCCACGGCUAACUACGUG
rnacentral:rRNA from 1 species